CCUACGGGUGACUGCAGUGAGGAAUAUUGGUCAAUGGGCGCGAGCCUGAACCAGCCAAGUAGCGUGAAGGAUGACUGCCCUACGGGUUGUAAACUUCUUUUAUAAAGGAAUAAAGUGAGGCACGUGUGCCUUUUUGUAUGUACUUUAUGAAUAAGGAUCGGCUAAAUCCGUGCCAGCAGCCGCGGUAAUACGGAGGAUCCGAGCGUUAUCCGGAUUUAUUUGGGUUAAAGGGAGCGUAGAGGGGUUGUUAAGUCCGUUGUGAAAGUUUGCGGCUCAACCGUAAAAUUGCAAUUGAUACUGGCAGUCUUGAGUACAGUUGAGGUAGGCGGAAUUCGUGGUGUAGCGGUGAAAUGCUUAGAUAUCACGAAGAACUCCGAUUGCGAAGGCAGCUUACUAAACUGCCACUGACAUUGAUGCUCGAAAGUGUGGGUAUCAAACAGGAUUAGAUACCCCAGUAGUC
rnacentral:rRNA from 1 species